GACGUAGGGCGCGAGCGUUGUCCGGAUUUAUUGGGCGUAAAGAGCUCGUAGGCGGCUUGUUGCGUCGACCGUGAAAACCCGCGGCUUAACCGUGGGCUUGCGGUCGAUACGGGCGGGCUGGAGUUCGGUAGGGGAGACUGGAAUUCCAGGUGUAGCGGUGAAAUGCGUAGAUAUCUGGAGGAAUACCGGUGGCGAAGGCGGCAUCCUGGACCGACAUUGACGCUGAGGAGCGAAAGCGUGGGGAGCGAACAGG
rnacentral:rRNA from 1 species